rnacentral:rRNA from 1 species
UGAGUAAUAUAUCGGAACGUGCCCAGUCGUGGGGGAUAACGUAGUGAAAAUUACGCUAAUACCGCAUACGAUCUAAGGAUGAAAGCGGGGGAUCGCAAGACCUCGCGCGAUUGGAGCGGCCGAUAUCAGAUUAGGUAGUUGGUAGGGUAAAGGCCUACCAAGCCAACGAUCUGUAGCUGGUCUGAGAGGACGACCAGCCACACUGGAACUGAGACACGGUCCAGACUCCUACGGGAGGCAGCAGUGGGGAAUUUUGGACAAUGGGCGAAAGCCUGAUCCAGCCAUUCCGCGUGCAGGAUGAAGGCCCUCGGGUUGUAAACUGCUUUUGUACAGAACGAAAAGGUCUCUACUAAUACUAGGGGCUCAUGACGGUACUGUAAGAAUAAGCACCGGCUAACUACGUGCCAGCAGCCGCGGUAAUACGUAGGGUGCAAGCGUUAAUCGGGAUUACUGGGCGUAAAGCGUGCGCAGGCGGUUAUAUAAGUCAGAUGUGAAAUCCCCGGGCUCAACCUGGGAACUGCAUUUGAGACUGUAUAGCUAGAGUACGGUAGAGGGGGAUGGAAUUCCGCGUGUAGCAGUGAAAUGCGUAGAUAUGCGGAGGAACACCGAUGGCGAAGGCAAUCCCCUGGACCUGUACGGACGCUCAUGCACGAAAGCGUGGGGAGCAAACAGGAUUAGAUACCCUGGUAGUCCACGCCCUAAACGAUGUCAACUGGUUGUUGGGUCUUAACUGACUCAGUAACGAAGCUGACGCGUGAA